rnacentral:rRNA from 1 species
ACGGGGCGCAGCAGGCGCGAAAACUUUACACUGCUGGCAACAGCGAUAAGGGGACCCCGAGUGCCAGUACCUAGUACUGGCUGUCCCGCUGUCCAAACAACAGCGGUUAGCAAGGGCCGGGCAAGACCGGUGCCAGCCGCCGCGGUAACACCGGCGGCCCGAAUGGUAGCCGUUAUUAUUGGGUUUAAAGGGUCCGUAGCCGGCCUAUUAAGUCUCUUGGGAAAUCUGGCGACUUAAUCGUCAGGCGUCCAAGAGAUACUGACAGGCUUGGGACCGGGAGAGGUGGGAGGUACUCCAGGGGUAGGGGUGAAAUCUCGUAAUCCUUGGGGGACCGCCGAUGGCGAAGGCAUCCCACCAGAACGGGUCCGACGGUGAGGGACGAAAGCUGGGGGCACGAACCGGAUUAGAUACCCGGGUAGUCCCAGCUGUAAACGAUGCUCGCUAGGUGUCAGGUGCGGUGCGACCGCAUCUGGUGCCGCAGUGAAAACUUGAAGCGAGUCACCUGGGAAGUACGGUCGCAAGGCUGAAACUUAAAGGAAUUGGCGGGGGAGCAC